UUUAAGUAGGGUGGAAAGUUUUGUGGCACCUUUAGAGCACAGCAUCCCCCCCCAUCAUCACCACCAAAUUACCAGAUCUCACCCCCUUCUGAAUGGAUUUAUGUGUUGCCAACUCAGAGAGCCAGGAGGAGGGGCUUUAUCUUCAGGGAGCUCAGAGUGAACGAUUCUAGAAGACUGUGUAAGAGAUUCUGAUCUAGAGCCAACUCCCAUCCUCCUACCCACCAAAACAAAACAAAACAACCUUUGGAAAGCAUUUCCACUUGAACUUUAUAAAAUGCCAAACUAAAUACCUCUCACACAGGGUAGGGAUGGCAUUUAGCUCCUCAUCUGUGAAAUGGGUUUCUCUAGUUAACCACUAAGCCCAGCAUGAAGGGACUCACUGGGGCUUCUUGCUUCAGAACUCACAUGUCUCCAACUUGUUUGUGUCUCUUGAUGUUGGUGGAGACUAAGAACACUCCUUACUUGGGUUAUUUGUAAAGACGCUGUGCACACACUGGAAAGGGAAGGAUGCAGCAAUUCUUGGGAAGGAAAUAAUUUAGCUUAGGAUACCUGAUAUGUUAUCAGGUAGCCUGUAUUUAUGCAUAUAUAAUUUCUCCAGUUUUCCAGGUCUUACUAGCUGUUCAACAAGGACAGUGUGCAGACAGCCUGUGAAUCUUGUCUUCGUCCAUGAUUUCACUCCCAGCCAAGUGGAUCAAUAUUUGCAGAUUUGCUUAUUCGCUGCUACUGGAAACCAAAAGGAUGGGAUGGAGGAAGGAAGUUUGUUUUCUUAAAAGCCCCACGUGACAGAAAGCACAUGAGCUUUCCUCCGGACCGAACUUUGACCAUCACAGGAGUUUCCCCAAAAGUUCACAAACAUAUUUGGACACCUACCUUGUGUCAGCAACUGUAUUAUGAGCUGAGGGGUGCAAGGGUGAAGAUGAUAUUCCCCAAAGAGUUCCUGAUUCAGUGGAGACAUGGCCAAGCCCAAAAAAGUGAAUUCAUCUCCUUGUUUUUCCACAUUCUCAUGGACCUUGUGUAAUCAGCAGAGAAGUACAACAUCUUUGGGAAAAGAAGAAAGGAAAAAAAAUCCUAAUUUCAAAUUCCAUAGCAUGAGUGGUGAUGGUGCAGAAUUCUUGUUGAAGAUGGCAGUGACACAAGAGGCCAGGAGCCUGGAUCCAUGCAUUAUCUCUUGAGAAGAGCCACCAACCCACACCGACCUUUGUGAGCAUGAUAACUAGAUUUUUACUGUGUUAAUCCUCUAAGAUUUGGGGACCAUUACAAGAAGAGAAUCCUAUCCAUACUCCCAAACUUAGUCUGAGCCAAUGUAUAUCUCUUCCUUUGUUGCUGGCACAUCUAUUAGGACCACAGAUCGAUGAUGAAAGCAAGAGACUGGGAUUAAUUUCUUCUUUUGCCUUGUAACCUAUGCAACCCCUUCAUGCCCCCCUCAGUGUUAGUGGGCAGUAAUGUGACAAUGGGAGAGAGAAGAAGGAAGUCUUGGGACUGCCUGGGUUGCCUACCCCAGGACCCCUGACAGUAUCCAAAAAUCACUUGGCCAAGCCAAACAAUGGAAAAGGCAAAAUGUUAGCAUGGACAUGAUAAAUAUUCAGUCCUUGUGUGCAGGGUUUGGGGGAGAAUGGAGAUUGCUGUGUUGGAAAUGAUUGGCAGGCUCGUGUCUGCAGGGGCCUCUCCACCCCACAGAAGACAUUGACGGAGAAAUUCCACCAGACAUCCGUCCCAAUAAAACGCCUGGGAAAAACAUCUGUCAGGUGAUAUUUAGAACUGACAUUUUCAUAAGGAUCCAGUCUAUAGAGGGUUUUAUCAGGGCUUGGAAAACCACAUUUUUCAUUCUUCCUCCUCCCCAUCUUCUUUAAUUAAACAAUGCACACAGCGUUUAAUGUAAGUUUUCUAUUUGAUGCUUUAAAAUGACAUGUUUUAAGGGCUACAUUUAAGAAAAAAUUUUUACUUGGAAAUAAUUUCAAUAAUAAUAGUAGUAAUUUCAAUAAUAAUAAUAAUUCCAAAAAAUGUUUCUUUCCUGAACCAUUCAAGAGUAAGUUGUACACAUCAUGGCCAUUAAUCCCUAAAUACUUCAUUUUAUAUUUCUUAUGAAUAGGGAUAUUCUUACAUGACCACAGCCCAGUCAUCACCUUCAGUAAAUUUAACAUUAAUAUAGUAUUUUACUAAUUUACCAUCAGUAUUCUGAUUUUAUCAAUAAUUUGACCCAGUAAUGCUCUAUUUAGUAAUCUCUUUCCUUCAAUCCAAGUUGUCAUGUCUCCUUAGUCUCCUUUAAGAUGGAACAUUUCUACAACCUUUCCUUUUAUUUCAUGACUGUCUUAGUUUCCUGGCUACUAAAACAAAUACCAUAAAACAGGUUGACUUAACAAUGUAAUUUAUUGGCUCAUGGUUUCAAAGCUAGGAGGCUUGCUUCCU